rnacentral:piRNA from 1 species
UGGCAGUACUGCUAGGAAGAUGCUAGGAAG